UACGGGGGGGGCAAGCGUUGUUCGGAAUUACUGGGCGUAAAGGGCUCGUAGGUGGCCAACUAAGUCAGACGUGAAAUCCCUCGGCUUAACCGGGGAACUGCGUCUGAUACUGGAUGGCUGGAGUAUGGGAGAGGGAUGCGGAAUUCCAGGUGUAGCGGUGAAAUGCGUAGAUAUCUGGAGGAACACCGACGGCGAAGGCAGCGCCCUGGACGAGCUCUGACGCUCAGGCACGAAAGCUGGGGGAGCAAACAGG
rnacentral:rRNA from 1 species